rnacentral:lncRNA from 1 species
GGCAGCGGCAGCGGCCAGUGGCCUCUCCGUGCGUGCUGCACAGAGGCAAGAAGCAGCCAUCCAUCCAGAAGCUGCCUCCGGUUGGUUCUGUUUGUCUGGAUGACAUCGUAGGUGGCCGGCAUCUCUGGCUUUGGGCUUCUCCCCUGGGCGGGUGGGUGUUCCACCCUCCCGCCCACUCUCUGAGGACAUGCGGACCAUGGUAUCCAGCACCACGGACAGCUCCCAGCGGUCCCUUGAAUGCUUGGUUUAUGCGCCUGGCUGAAGGAGACACCCAUGGCCUUGCAGAGGGAUCGGUCUGGUGGGAAAGCAGGCACGACCCACCCCAGGCCCGUGGUUUCCCUGCAACAAGUCCAGUGGCUUUCUGGGGGACACUUUUCCUGAAGAAGUGAUUCAAGAGCAGCAUAAGCCAGGUACUAUGGAAUGUUGGGUGAGAUGACUUGAGGACCUA